GUAGACAUGCCAUCAUUGAUGCCUUAUUCGAUGAUUUGCUCCAAUAUGGCCAUUACCCAACACAUCGAAUGUUCCAGGAGGCAUGUAGAGAGCUGUUCAACAUGUAUCCAAUCCUGAAAGACAAGCAUUUUACAAAUGCCCUACCUCAUGACAGCUGGGUUCUCAGACUCAGAGAUAAAUUCAAGAAAUACAGAUCCCGUCAUGGAGAGUUGUGUAAUGCAGAGGAACUCGAAAGGAUGAGGGCAAAAUUUGGAAAAAAAAAGGACAAACAAUCGGAUGAGUUGAAGAUCAGUGUUGAAGAACCUUUAACCUCUGUAAAGCAUUUCAAGAUUCCACAAUUGAAUGAAGGCACUGAGGAUCAAUUUUCAAUUGACAAGCACCUCAAAGUACUGCAAGAGGAGUCAUUGAAAAAAAAAACCUGAUGAACAACUUAUUGAGGAUAGGAUGACAAGAACUUUUAGUUUUCGAGCAAUAUAUGUAACAACACAUUCAGUUGCAGAAACCUUAAAAUGUUUCCCUCCAUUACAACAAACGGUUGAGCUGCUACAUGAGGCUAAACGCUUGGAUAUCAACGAAAGAAAUCUCGUAGAAUUUUUACAAGCAAAGAACAGCCGCCUGACAGAAAUGUCACAAAAUGAGAAGAAUCGUAAAAGGCUGACAGACUUGCUAAGAGCACAGGCAGAAUGCAUAAGCACAGAAGAUAGUGAUUUAAGUUUUACAAUGCUGCUUUUGCCUUGCCUUCUAAAAGAAAAGCUGCCGUUCCAAUAUGCGGAAACAGAAGAAAAGAUAUCUUUGUUGCACCCGGUAAUAAUUCACCGAGAAGACAAAAACAUAUUGAACAAUACACAAUUCGAGCUUUACUUGGACCAACAACUAAUAACAAAAACAGGCGGCAUUAUUACCGCAGUUACUCUGUGGUUCUCUUUGUAUUGGUUAUUUAAUGUUGGGUAUAACAACAGCCAUAUUAGACUUUUA